rnacentral:tRNA from 1 species
GUCUCUUCGCGCAAACGGUUAGCGUGUUCGGCUGUUAACCGAAAGGUUGGUGGUUUGCGCCCACCCGGAGGCG